rnacentral:rRNA from 1 species
ACGCUGGCGGCAGGCUUAACACAUGCAAGUCGAACGGUAACAGGAAUUAGCUUGCUAAUUUGCUGACGAGUGGCGGACGGGUGAGUAAUGCUUGGGAACCUGGCUUAUGGAGGGGGAUAACUACGGGAAACUGUAGCUAAUACCGCGUAAAAUCUUCGGAUUAAAGGGUGGGACUUUCGAGCCACCUGCCAUAAGAUGAGCCCAAGUGGGAUUAGGUAGUUGGUUAGGUAAAGGCUGACCAAGCCGACGAUCUCUAGCUGGUCUGAGAGGAUGACCAGCCACACUGGAACUGAGACACGGUCCAGACUCCUACGGGAGGCAGCAGUGGGGAAUAUUGCACAAUGGGGGGAACCCUGAUGCAGCCAUGCCGCGUGAAUGAAGAAGGCCUUCGGGUUGUAAAGUUCUUUCGGUGACGAGGAAGGUUGAUAGGUUAAUAGCCUAUCAAAUUGACGUUAAUCACAGAAGAAGCACCGGCUAACUCCGUGCCAGCAGCCGCGGUAAUACGGGGGGUGCGAGCGUUAAUCGGAAUAACUGGGCGUAAAGGGCACGCAGGCGGUGACUUAAGUGAGAUGUGAAAGCCCCGAGCUUAACUUGGGAAUUGCAUUUCAUACUGGGUCGCUAGAGUACUUUAGGGAGGGGUAGAAUUCCACGUGUAGCGGUGAAAUGCGUAGAGAUGUGGAGGAAUACCGAAGGCGAAGGCAGCCCCUUGGGAAUGUACUGACGCUCAUGUGCGAAAGCGUGGGGAGCAAACAGGAUUAGAUACCCUGGUAGUCCACGCUGUAAACGAUGUCGAUUUGGGGAUUGGGCUUUGAGCUUGGUGCCCGUAGCUAACGUGAUAAAUCGACCGCCUGGGGAGUACGGCCGCAAGGUUAAAGCUCAAAUGAAUUGACGGGGGCCCGCACAAGCGGUGGAGCAUGU